UUUAUGAUAGUGGUCGUGAGCCUCUGGUUAGAAACAAAUAUUGUAAUAAUUAAGUUGCACCUCUAUGGGGACUAAAUAAAGUAUGUUCAGAGAUGAGCACGCAUGAAAGGCGGCCUUCUGAACAUAUGGUCUAACCUCUAGCAGCGACCAAGCCUGAUUCGGUUGUGAUCGUGGGCCCGCAUGAUUAUUAAAUAUUAAUAAACGGCCGGUGCGUGAGUCCAAAGCGACAUGAGUAGCCGAAUGAACGGAUGCAAUAACAAGUAGGGCUAAACAAGAAUAACCAAACAUCCACCCAAAUUCUGUAACUGUUAAAAGUAAUCAUCAAUCCAAUUAAUAUUAACAUUAUCUUGGAGUCAGAUAAUAAUACAAAAUUGCAUAAAUGCCAAAACGUCACUUGCAAGCGCCGGAAAAGACUGAACGCGCUAUUACCCUUCGUUUGGAUUCCGUCGUUGGGCCAAACGGAUGGAUGGGGCCACAUUUUUGCCCCUUACAAAGUGGUGAUUCCCGAGACGUGAUAUUCAACCAGUGAGAAACCUCAUCAAAAUGCGAUUGAUGCGAUCCCUGGAGAAUAAGAGUCUUUUCAUGGAGCUAAAGGUUUGAACUUCUUCUAUUUCUUCAGCUGAUGUGGUUGAAAGCUGUAAAUCCUGGCCAGAGAUGUCUGGCCACACCAGACAAGACAGCAAACCCUGCAGAAAAGCAAUCUAGAAAACGGAGGAUGGGUGUGAAGACAUUCAAAGGCCAUUUUACACCUCACAACACUAUACCAUCAUGAAUAGACAUGGCCUCAAAAUUUGCAACACUAAUUGUUAGAGAUAAAAUCCACCCAUCUUCCAGACAAAAACUGACUGUACAGCACACACAUUGACUAAAACAAUCUCGUAACACAUCUGGUAUAGACGUAAAGACUAUCCAGACAUAAACACUACACACCACACAACAUAUUCCAAACUUAACACUACAUUUAAAAUCAACAUUCUCCUGUUACACAAACAGGGACAUCUAAUCCAACACAAAUUCUAAGUGAUAUCAUUCACACCCAUAUUAGCAAAACUACAACAUUCAUAAGAAACUUACUUGGCAAAGUCACACUUUGAUGAUUAUGUUUCUAAUUGCAAUAACAAACUUACUGUCUAAAUCUCAAAUCAAUAAUCUGACUGUUGUUGUCAUAAGUGAGGACCAGUUGGCGCCCUGAUCCUCAAUUUAUCACUAAAUAACAGCACAAACAAUUUUCAAGAAUCAAUCAAACCAUUUACAUCUCAACUCCCAAUAUCAAAUGUGACUUAGCCAACAUAUCACAUACACACCUAUAUAAGUAUUCACAUAUCUCUACACUCGUACACCUACUUAUACAUGCAAACACAUUGAAAUCUGAGAUUCUAAAUCUUCAAGUCUAUGGACUACACAUACUCAUAAACACGCCUAUACACACAAGCACAUACAUAUACACAUACAUAUAUACAUAGGCACAUACCUGCACACAUAGAAAUCUAACAUGAGAUUCUGAAUCUUCAAUUGUGCUCAUGGACUCAACAUGUCCUGAACAUAUUCUUAAAAUAAUCUUAGGCCUACAAGGUGCUUAUACUAAGAGAAUUCAGAAUUCCCUCGAAACAUUCAUUAUAGAUGUGUGUAUGGAACGAUUACACAAUUAUGCGCCUAUUAUUAUUAUUAUUAUUAUUAUUAUUAUUAUUAUUAUUAUUAUAUAUGGGCUACCAUGCCCAUACCUGAAUCUAUUAUAGCAAUAUUUUACUAUCACGUUAAUUGAUACACCCUAUAGUAUGCAUAACCAAAAUUUUAUUUUAACACCUUCUGGUUUUUUAUUUUAUUUUUUAUUUUCACAUGACCCAAUAUGCAUACCUGAAUGUUAUUUAACACUUUCUGGUUUUUAUUUUUCCACAUGACCCAAUACAUGCAUACCUGAAUGUUAAUACCUGAAGGUUAUUUUUACAUUUUCUGGGUUUUAUUUUUAUACAAUCUAUAAUAUGCAUACCUGAAGAUCAUUUGAACAAUUUCUGGGUUUUGUUUCCAUAUAAUCUAUAAUAUGCAUACUUGAAGGUUAUUUGCAUACUUGAAGGUUAUUUUAACACUUUCUUGGUUUUAUUUUCAUACAAUCUGUAACAUGCAUACCUCAAGGUUAUUUUAACAGUUCAUUUUCUGGGUUUUAUUUUUAUAAUAUGCAUACCUCAAUGUGAUGUUUUUAUUGCUUUAACCUGAUCUUUUGCAUCCUCUCCUUUAAUAUCCAGAGACCAAGUACCUUUGAAUUCAGCUAAACUCCAAGUACAACAGUGGGAAAGAAUGAUGGUAAUGUUAUAGAUCAGAGGUAUUCGACCCUAUCGUACCACUUGCCCAUUUUCACAUCAAGUUAUCAUGUGUAAUGUUUUAUUUUAUUUUAUUUAUGGUUUGCCCUAACUAUCAUGUUAUAGUGUUACCAAGCCUAUUGAUAUUGGUCAGUGUUCAAUCAAUGAAUGGUCCUUAAGGUGUGCAGGUGUUUCACACAGUGAUGUAUUGUCAAUGUCAAUACCCCCACCCGACGACGUCUGAAUUCACCGUUCAGAGGUGACAACUUUCUUCAAAGAGACAGAACGUCUAAGAACAGGUGGUUUCCGUGGAAGAAUGGGACAUUCAUUGAACGAAGCACACAGGCCUUGGUUGACACACUGAACUUUGAUUGGACACCACCGAGAUGUAUGUUGAUCUCAUCGGGACUGUUAUGUCUCUCCGACUUGAUCAAAAUGGGCGGAGCUGUAAGAGCUGAAUGGUGGUGCCAAACCCUGACAAAAGGUAUUUCCUGAAGCCAGCAACAAAUGGCUGAAUCCACAGGAAACCGCUUCCUAAUUCCUUGUUGAAUUAUCAUCUGAAACCCUCCACAAAGAAUUCACAUCUACCCCGAAACCUUCCUCAAAGAAUUCACAUCUACCCCCCCAAGACAGUUACCCCAUGGUGUGGGACAGAGUCACACCCGACCACACUUUCUUGUCCCCCUUUCCUCAUGUUUUAUAAAAGCAAUACAUUCUACAUGUACAAAGAAUGUGAAACUGGUUUUGUUUGGUGUUAUAUGAAGUGUUUUAAUGCAAGUGGUACAUUUGGGUUUGUUAAUAUGACAACAGGAUUCAAUGUUAAUCUGUGACAAUAAAUAAGUAAACUUAACCUAAUGUUGGGAGACAACUCCUAACUUAGACAUGUUGACCAAUCACCCACUGUAUGUAUAUUAGGCUACACCCCUGAUUUUACAACAACCAAUCAAUACCAAACUCCUAUAUGCUUUGUUCUCUGGUUAUUUAAGGAGAUGUGUAGAAGACUUAGGCGGGACUUUCAAUAUCUAGAAAUGCACCCCCAUGACGCUGUAUCUUUGAUACAGCAUCAUGUUUCUUUUUAUUUUAUUUUGAGGAAUCUGUAACCAGAUCUUCAUCUCCUUACCAGGUAUGCAAUGGUUUUUCGUUGUAUUGUUUUGUAUUUGAAUUGGAUAUAUUAAUUGGCUUUGAAUUAUGUUUUUCCUACCUGGUUAAUAAAUUGUUAUGUUUGGAUUUA